UACAGAGGGGGCAAGCGUUGUUCGGAAUUACUGGGCGUAAAGGGCGCGUAGGCGGCCUGCUAAGUCGAACGUGAAAUCCCUGGGCUCAACCCAGGAACUGCGUCCGAUACGGGCAGGCUAGAGUUCGGUAGGGGAGACUGGAAUUCCUGGUGUAGCGGUGAAAUGCGCAGAUAUCGGGAGGAACACCAAUGGCGAAGGCAGCUUGCUGGGACGGUACUGACGCUGAGGUGCGAAAGCGUGGGGAGCAAACAGG
rnacentral:rRNA from 1 species